CACAGGGGGACGCACGGGAAAGUUGGGGGGGGAUCCCAGGGAGAAUUACGGUCGGUGCAAGAAAGACAAUGGGAGCCGGAGUGAGAGAGCCUGGUGGCACAGGGCUGGCUGGAAAACGUUGCUGCUUUGUUACAAGCAUCCAAACAACUUUGUCAUCCUCAAUCUCCUGAGGACAUAUGCCAAGGGACCUUCCUCCAGCCACACAACAGUGACUCAGGAAUUAAGUAGAACUGAAUGUCAGAUCACAAGGUCAUCAGCAUCCAUUCUUCUCUUUCCAGUAUGUAAUUCAUCAGAAUCUACAGCAUACCAGAGCGCAGCUCCAGGACUGACAGCUUCCUUUGAACUGGCUGCUAAGGGAAAGCUCUGACUGAUACAGGCUAGCUUCUCCGGGUGGCUGGGAUCAUUGUCUAUGUAAUUCUCUCAGCCUGAGUCAGCACAAGGAGCAUUAUUCCCAGGAUUAGUCCUAAAUCUGUAGUUAUAGCCAUCAGUAAAAACCAACUACAAGCAACAAGGAAGCAGUGCAACUUUUCUGGAGAUACAGGCACCAGCAAUGGCAAAAUGCAAAUUCUAAUCAAUGACAUUAUAUCUUAAGAGAUAGAUAUGUUAAAUUGUGUGGGUAUUUAGCUGCAUUACUUACAUUAAUGUCAGUGGAGCUUGCAUAGCUAAAUCCCUGUACCUCAUUUUGAAAGUGUAUCCACAAAAUAAGAUUACAUGACAUACUAAUAUAAAAUAUAAAGAGGGUCAUCCUAUUGCUUCUUUAGAGCUUGAUCCUGCAUGCAUGCUGGUAAGAGUUGUGUGGGACCCCCACUAGAGCUCCUGAGUAGUGUGCUUUUUUACUCAUGAUCUACUAAGGAGAAGUUAGGUGAGAGGAGUGGGCAUUGAAGGCUGGUGGACUAGCAGGUCCACUGUACCUGGCUUUCAUCAGGAGGCACCAACAGUUGGCUGAAGGAGAGUGUUUGCUCAGAACUUCCAGGUACAUUUCUGUAUCAGGAGCCCUCAUGGUUGACCCCACAUUCAAUUGACCAAAUCCCAUCCUAAAAACACUCUAAAUUAUACUAGCCAGAAUGUUUCCUCUAUGGACAGGUCAGGGGCUAGAAUUCCUAGCAACUGAUAGCCAGAGGCUCUGUUCAACCCAAAUAUGCCUCUUUUGUGAGGGGAGAGAGGAGAGUGGGCAGUAUAAAGCCAGCUAUGUCAGCUUUAGGCUACUCUGGGAAUUUCCUAUGCUAGGCAAAUCCACAGCUAACUUUAGGGGAGCUCAAUGGCUGCUUUCUUGUGCUGCCACAAGAGGGGCCAAGGAUCUGGCCCACUUCCUUCUAAGUGUCGCUCUUCACAACACUUAUGUAGCCUCUGCUCCUGGCAGGCAAUGGGAGUAAUUAAAAAUCCUUAAAAUGGCCACUAUGCCCUGGAUUGCACUCAUGGCACAUAUGUUGUGGCCACUUGCCAUCUCUGUCCCAUCACAACCACUUCCACCCCUACUCACCCAUUCUCACCGCUCUGGUAAAGGUUUGCUCAGGUUGCUGAGCACUUCUGCAAGUCAUUGUCUUAAAACCUCUCUCCUCAGGUGUGGAGUAAACGUCAAGUGCUGAACUUCACCCUUUUGGUUUCCAUACUUCUUUCUGGAAGUCUCAGCAACCUGAAAAAUUUGAUCCUCAAAGUGAAAUCCAGUUAAUAAAAUCCUAUAUAAUUAUACCAAUAUGAUCCCUGUGACCUGAUGCUCUGGAGGGCCUGGCGCUCUCCUCCCUCCUCUGCUGGUGAAUAGGUGGAAGUAGUUACAGAAUUAGUACUUCAUUUGCAUAAGCUUUCUACCCCAAAUUCUUCUAGUAGCACUGUGGGAUCUGCCAUGCUAUACAGAAAUUCAGAAUUGGUUAUGUACCAGAAGUGACCUGACAGAGGGAGUGAAAAAUAUGGGCAUCUCCCUUGUGGUAAGAAAUCCCCAGUGGCAUGGUUAUAUGGUAUUGGUUCCUCUCUGGGGAUCUUGUGCUGUUGGGAAGACUGACAGGAAAUAACAGAGGAGGUGCAAUAGCCAGGUGCAACAGUCAGAUAGCUCAUUGCUGAAGCUGCAGAGGAAAGCAGCAGAGCUGAGUGAAUUGUAGUGAGGCCCCUUUCUAGCCAGCUAAUAAAGCUGAAAUCAUAGUUGGUUUAGGUGGUGGAGCCUCCGAACAGGAUCUGUCAGCAUGUCAAUGAACUUGAGACAGAGCUGCCCAAGUGCACACGAGGACAUUGGAACUACACUACCCACUUACACCAAACCGGCUGGGGUUUCAUGGACAGGAAAGGGAAGUGAUGUGGUGAAAGGAUAUUUGUCUAUUGGACAUUCAGUGGCGGGUGGGAGUCCAAAAUAAUGGGCUAUUGCCAGAGUUACUGUGGGGGGGGGGGGUGUUUUCUUUAUAUAGACAGGGAACAUAGCAACAUUCACCCAAUAACGUUUACCUUGUUUAAUUCACACUUGCACACGUACAGACAGAUUGCAAACUGGGAUGUAUUUCCUAUUAUAAGGGCAUCCAGGGAAAGUAGUUAGUGAUCCAAGACAUCCUGAGUGGGGGCUUAAGCUGGUGGUAUUUGUUAGUUUUCAGAGGGACCUCUAGCUAUUUGAACCUGACAAUUAUGCGUCUGAUGUGGCAAAGAAACAUUCACAUUUAAUUUUAAAUAAAGCACAAAUUUAAUAAAAUCAUUAGGAAAACACCACUUCUGAUAAAAGUGUCUCACAUUCUAUCAUAUAAUUUUGAACAUAUAGAAAUAAUUCAUUUAUGAAUUAAGCUUCCACAUUUAUCUUUAUAGGUCUCCUAAUGUUGACUGAUUCCAUUGAAGUUUGUUUUGCCCUAAAUACUCAUUACUGAAUCAAUGUCAAGCUAAUUUGAUGUCUGUGUUAACAAUGUCUCCAAGGCAAAUUCUUAUCUUGAAUCAAUGCAUAUUUAAGCAUUUAUUGCUGCAUGUCUGUUGAAAAAUUAUGCUUGAAAGUGUACAAUUUUUUGUUGAUGUUAAAUGUUAGAAGAAAAAUAAAUUGUCUAAUUAUA